ensembl:misc_RNA 7SK 7SK RNA
UGACGUGGAGGAGAGCUGGCUGUGACAUCAUCACCCCACUGGCCUCCAGGCUUGCUCCACCUCAUCCGGCUGGCCAGGCAGGUGUGCCUCUCCUCCCUCUCCGCUCCAUGUGUAUCUCUCCAAAGCUGUGAGCACCCCUCGUAGAGGAGGACAGUUUCCUCAGUCAGGGAUACAUGAGUGGCUGCACUCCUCUGCUAGGACCUCCAAACAAGUUCUCAAAAUGAAUUUGCCAGCUCAUCCUAGGAGGAUAUUCUUCUAACUCCUAGACAGUGUGAAAUACUUAGUCACCUGUG